rnacentral:sRNA from 1 species
GCCAGGCAUGGUGGCACACGCCUGUGAUCCCAGCAGCUCGGGAGGCUGAAGCAGGAGGAUCGCGAGUUCAAAGCCAGCCUCAGCAACUCUGUGAGACCCUGUCUCUA